UUCCUAGCUUCAACGGGAACUGUUCUAAAAUUGGAACGAUGCAGAGUAGAUUUGCAUGGCCCCUGCUGAAAGCGUUUUUUAUCUUAAAAUUAUCAUCAAAUGAU